rfam:Camelus ferus unplaced genomic scaffold scaffold228, whole genome shotgun sequence.
GGUGGGAAAAGCUCAGUGGUAAAGUGCAUGUUUACCAUGCAUGAAGUCCUGGGUUCAAGCCCCAGUACUUCCA